rnacentral:rRNA from 1 species
UAGGGAAUCUUCGGCAAUGGGGGGAACCCUGACCGAGCAACGCCGCGUGAGUGAAGAAGGUUUUCGGAUCGUAAAGCUCUGUUGUUAAGGAAGAACGAGUGUGAGAAUGGAAAGUUCAUACUGUGACGGUACUUAACCAGAAAGGGACGGCUAACUACGUGCCAGCAGCCGCGGUAAUACGUAGGUCCCGAGCGUUGUCCGGAUUUAUUGGGCGUAAAGCGAGCGCAGGCGGUUAGAUAAGUCUGAAGUUAAAGGCAGUGGCUCAACCAAUGUAGGCUUUGGAAACUGUUUAACUUGAGUGCAGAAGGGGAGAGUGGAAUUCCAUGUGUAGCGGUGAAAUGCGUAGAUAUAUGGAGGAACACCGGUGGCGAAAGCGGCUCUCUGGUCUGUAACUGACGCUGAGGCUCGAAAGCGUGGGGAGCGAACAGG